rnacentral:rRNA from 1 species
CCCGCUGAACUUAAGCAUAUUAAUAAGCGGAGGAAAAGAAACUAACCAGGAUUCCCCUAGUAACGGCGAGUGAAGCGGGAAGAGCUCAACCUUAAAAUCUGCUUGCCAAACGGCAAGCCGAAAUGUGGGCUAGAGAUGUAUUGUCAGCGAGCGGCCCGGGUAUAAGUCUCUUUGGAAUGAGGUAUCAUAGAGGGUGAGAAUCCCGUCUUUGACCCGGGUGAGACAACGCCGCGUACGACGUGCAUUCGGAGAGUCGGUUUGCUUGGGAGUGCAAACCAAAAUGGGUGGUAAACUUCAUCUAAAGCUAAAUAUCAGCGAGAGACCGAUAGCGAACAAGUACCGUGAGGGAAAGAUGAAAAGAACUUUGAAAAGAGAGUUAAAAAGGACUUGAAAUUGUUAAGAGGGAAGCGAUGGCAACCAGUAGUUAAGGUGGUGCGGCGUGAUACUUGCCAUCCACGACGGCGACAGGCGCCGAGCGAGUGCUGCAUGGCCUCCGCUCUGUGUUUGGGUUUUGCCGGCGUGGGUGGUUUCAGUUACGUCUUGGCACCAGUCAGCAUCAGUUUAGCAUGGUGGGAGAAAGCUGGCGGAAAGGUAGGUUCGGCCUGUCAUGGGUCGAACUGUUAUAGCCCGCCAGCCACAUACCACUGGCCAGACUGAGGACGCGCUUUCUAACGUAAGCGGCUGGAACUCGCCCGCAAGGUUCGCCACUGGGCCGCUAGGGGUGUGAGUUCUUUCGGACAACAAAGUUGUGCGGGAGGCGUAGCGCCCUUCAUGCGGUUCGGCUCGGACGAUGCGAUUUAUUCGAGAUGCUGACGAAAUGGUUUUCAUUGACCCGUCUUGAAACACGG